GAUGAACGCUAGCUGGAGGCUUAAUACAUGCAAGUCGAGCGGGAUUAGGGCAGCAAUGUCCUAUGAGAGCGGCGAACGGGUGAGUAACGCGUACACGACCUACCUUUGACUGGGGGAUAGCCCUGGGAAACUGGGAUUAAUACCGCAUAUAAUUCUGAUAAGUAAAGAUAUUGGAAUGAAAGUUCAGGCGGUCAGAGAUGGGUGUGCGUCUGAUUAGCUAGUUGGUAAGGUAACGGCUUACCAAGGCGAUGAUCAGUAGGGGGCGUGAGAGCGUGGUCCCCCACACGGGUACUGAGACACGGACCCGACUCCUACGGGUGCAG
rnacentral:rRNA from 1 species